rnacentral:rRNA from 1 species
AUUGAACGCUGGCGGCAUGCCUUACACAUGCAAGUCGAACGGUAACAGGUCUUCGGAUGCCGACGAGUGGCGAACGGGUGAGUAAUACAUCGGAACGUGCCUAGUAGUGGGGGAUAACUACUCGAAAGAGUGGCUAAUACCGCAUGAGAUCUACGGAUGAAAGCAGGGGAUCGAAAGACCUUGUGCUACUAGAUCGGCCGAUGGCAGAUUAGGUCGUUGGUGGGAUAAAAGCUUACCAAGCCGACGAUCUGUAGCUGGUCUGAGAGGCCGAUCAGCCACACUGGGACUGAGACACGGCCCAGACUCCUACGGGAGGCAGCAGUGGGGAAUUUUGGACAAUGGGCGCAAGCCUGAUCCAGCAAUGCCGCGUGCAGGAUGAAGGCCUUCGGGUUGUAAACUGCUUUUGUACGGAACGAAAAGACCUGGGUUAAUACCCUGGGGUCAUGACGGUACCGUAAGAAUAAGCACCGGCUAACUACGUGCCAGCCGCCGCGGUAA